rnacentral:rRNA from 1 species
ACUCCUACGGGAGGCAGCAGUGGGGAAUAUUGCACAAUGGGCGCAAGCCUGAUGCAGCGACGCCGCGUGGGGGAUGACGGCCUUCGGGUUGUAAACUCCUUUCGCUAGGGACGAAGCUUUUUGUGACGGUACCUAGAUAAGAAGCACCGGCUAACUACGUGCCAGCAGCCGCGGUAAUACGUAGGGUGCGAGCGUUGUCCGGAAUUACUGGGCGUAAAGGGCUCGUAGGUGGUUUGUCGCGUCGUCUGUGAAAUUCCGGGGCUUAACUCCGGGCGUGCAGGCGAUACGGGCAUAACUUGAGUACUGUAGGGGUAACUGGAAUUCCUGGUGUAGCGGUGAAAUGCGCAGAUAUCAGGAGGAACACCGAUGGCGAAGGCAGGUUACUGGGCAGUUACUGACGCUGAGGAGCGAAAGCAUGGGUAGCGAACAGGAUUAGAUACCCUGGUAGUCCAUGCCGUAAACGGUGGGCGCUAGGUGUGAGGGUCUUUUCACGACUUUCGUGCCGUAGCUAACGCAUUAAGCGCCCCGCCUGGGGAGUACGGCCGCAAGGCUAAAACUCAAAGGAAUUGACGG